UACGUAGGGGGCAAGCGUUGUCCAGAUUUAUUGGGCGUAAAGAGCGUGUAGGCGGCUAGAUAGGUCCGUUGUGAAAACUCGAGGCUCAACCUCGAGACGCCGGUGGAAACCAUCUAGCUAGAGUCCGGAAGAGGAGUGUGGAAUUCCUGGUGUAGCGGUGAAAUGCGCAGAUAUCAGGAGGAACACCAAUGGCGAAGGCAGCACUCUGGGACGUGACUGACGCUGAGACGCGAAAGCGUGGGGAGCAAACAGG
rnacentral:rRNA from 1 species